rnacentral:rRNA from 1 species
AGCAGCCGCGGUAAUUCCAGCUCCAAUAGCGUAUAUUAAAGUUGUUGCAGUUAAAAAGCUCGUAGUUGAACUUCGGGGUUCACCCAUUGGUCAGGCUUAAUUGUCUGUACUGGUGAGAUGAGUCUCUACCUUCUGAGGAACUUUCAUGCCAUUUAUUUGGUGUGAUUGGAAAUCAGGACUGUUACUUUGAAAAAAUUGAGUGUUUAAAGCAGGCUAACGUCUGAAUACAUUAGCAUGGAAUAAUGAAAUAGACGGAUUGAUUCUAUUUCGUUGGUUUCUAGGAUCACCGUAAUGAUUAAUAGGGAUAGUUGGGGGCAUUAGUAUUCAAUUGUCAGAGGUGAAAUUCUUGGAUUUAUGAAGACUAACUACUGCGAAAGCAUUUGCCAAGGNUUGUUUUCAUUAAUCAAGAACGAAAGUUAGGGGAUCGAAGACGAUCAGAUACCGUCGUAGUCUUAACCAAUAACUAUCGACGACGUAGGGAUCGGACGUCGUAGUUAAUUUUAUAAUGUACGUUGUCGGU